GUUUCAUCAUGAUGAAUUAAUAAUCAAACUCACAUGUCAGAAUUUAGAGAUUUUCAAAGUAAAUCAAUAACAAUGUGAGUUCUUGUUCAAUAAUCAGAA